CCUCGUCUAAGCCACAAGGCGGACAGAUGUGUCUUCUCAUUGGCUAUUAUAUGUGGGUUCCAGUAGCUUAGAGGGCAGGGAUGGAACAUUUGCCUGCCCCACCGAAGGCAUGUCGUGAUAGCUGCGAUCGCAUCAGACCCGGUUCCUCUUUUCUCGACUUCUCUCUCUCUCUCUCUCUCUCUCUCUCUCGACGAUCCAGUCCACUGUUGCGCUCGUUGUCGCCAAAUGGAUGAGAACAAUCAGCGGAUUGAUGCACAAGAUGCAUAACCGGUUUCUUUUUCUUCGUGCCGAGAGGCCUUCAAGAUGUUCCAUUGCUUUCAAUACCAAAAGGUGCUAAGGAAUGCUGAGCCAGACUUCAAGGUGUUCCAUUGAUUGUUAUAAGGCUCUACCAGAAGCAUUCUCAUGGACAGCACCAACCGAAUGAAGAAAGAGUAUCAUCUCUUCCCAUAUGUGCAAAUGGCGUUAAGAUGAGCAUUGACUCAAGUGCAUCACUCUCUGUUUCUGACACUAAUCCUGGCUUGCAAUACAUGGCAAAGAGGAAUGCACACUGGAAUCUGCAACAAAACAAGGACCUUUCUGCAUCUCUCUCAUGCGUUCCAAGAUAUUCAUACAAAUGGUUAAUAUGUGCUGGGGAUAUCCAGAGAGCCACACAGAACUUUACAACAGUUUUAGGACAACAAUCUUUUGGGCCAUUAUAUCAAGCUACAAUUCCAACAGGUGAAUUGGUAGCUGUUAAGGCGCUUGCAGGUAAUUCAAUCCAAGGAAAAAAGAGUUACCAACAGAGGUAUACUGCUCAGUUUUUGGACUGAAAUUGCAUGAAUGAGUUUGCUAACAUAAACUGAAAAUGUCUUCUAUUAUGGUUUUAAGUUUGUUUUAGUGAGAUAAAAUUACUACUGGCAUCAAUCUGAAUUAAUACAUGAGUGAAAGCCACGAAAUCAGGCAGAAAGCUAUUUUGGAACAAUUAGACAGCUAGAUAAUCAUGUUAACCUAACUAUUUGAUUGUGUCAGAACAUAAAUAAAUCAAGUAAAUCUGGGCACACUCUCUCUCCUAUGUCUCAUGUAGGCAACCCAGUUGAUUAGACUCACACACACAUAUCCUCAAUCAAGAUCAUAAAAGGAAAAUAAAUAAACUAAUAAAUAAGAAUAUCAUCUUAGAGAAGUAAAGUAAGAUAGGGAUAGGACAACUAGGCCAUACUCUUCAAAACACAUAAUUUCAUUUAUGCAAGUUAUGAUUGUAUAUAGACUCAUAAGAUGUUCAUGUAGGAAGAUUUUUCAAUUAGACUAACACUCAUCUUCCUAAAAUUUUAUCUGAAGAGAUGAUAGUAAAUGUCAUAUGUCACCAAAAAUUCUAUCCAAAAGAAAUGUGUGGAAUGUUCAAACAUGACCCUAAUAGCUUAAACUCUUCCAAAUUUAUCUGUGUCCAUGAUAGGGGACUCAAACUAAAGAAUUUAAUUAAAAAAAAGUGUAAAUAUGACCUAAAAUAGGAAUUAACAAUAUGGACAAAAAAAAAUCCAAAAAGGUAAGAAAAUUAAAAGAAAACCCAAGCUAGACUCACAGAAGUCUUAAGUCAACCUAAAUAUGCCCAAACUAGACUAACCUAAGACUAGAUGUCUCAUGAUCAAUAAGAAGAAGCAUUAUGCGUGUAUAAAAACAACGAAUCAUGUCUCAUGAUGUACUUACUAUGUUGGGUGUGGUUUGAGCAAAUGCAACUUCCUCGUGCUUAAUGUAUCGGCACAGCAGGUCCCAGCCAGGCAGGCAGUCCCCAUCAUCGACUGUCAACUCCUACCAUCUGUCUUCUUCUUAUCUUCGAGUCGUAGCAGCUGCAGCAACAGCAGCAGCAGCAGCUCCACCUGAAACUGACUCACCACCUACUCUCAUUAAGACAAGGAAGAAAGGGGAACAUCCACGACGUGCCCGACUCGGUAACCUACAGCUUCGUGAUGGCGAAGCUUACCUCAUACUCUCUCCACUUUCCAUGUCGCUGCCACCAACCCAACCACCCUUUCUGGCUUAAGAAAGUACGCCACUUGGCUCCUCGCAUGGUGGUGCAAGUGCAAACACAUGAUCACAGGGGAACACGCGACAUGGGUUGUGCCUUAAGUGUUCAGCAUCAAUCAUAGAGAUGCAGCUGAGGAUGGGAGGUGGGCUUCCACCAUCUUCCAGUCCUUCUGUGCCUUGAUCCCGACUCAACAUGGAUGUUUCCUGAAGACGAAAAAGAAAGACA